ACCUAAAGAUACAAAUACAACUUAGAAUACCAUACUGAGGUAAACCAUAUUCAAACUGCAGAAAACCAGUGACAAAUGAAAAUCUUACAAGCUGCCAGAAAAUAAGUACAAAAAGAAAAAAAUGUAAAUCUUGAAUUUUAUAUCUAGCAAAAAUAUCUUUCAAAAAUGAGUGAAGACUUUCUCAGACCAGUAACAACCAAGAGAACUCAUGACCAGAAAUAUUAAGGGAAAUUCUUCAGGCAGAAGGAAAAUGAAAUCAGAAUGAUGUCUGCCUCAACAAAGGAAUCAACAGUUCCAGAGAUGGCGCACAAAAAUGGACAGCAGCAGCCUCGGAACCCUCUUGGUCGGCGAUGUGCACGGAGCAGGAAUAAGGGUGGAGGCUCCGUUUCCCUGGGCGCCUGCGUGUAGCUGAGCGUACACACACAACCUGAUCACCUGGGAGCACAGGCCCUUCUGUGACCUGCUGGUGGCAGUGCAGACAUUCGCUGAAGGCCCCCCUUUCUGAAGGGCGGGCAGGUUCGGGCGUGCCACCUCCCUCACUGCCAUCCCAGGGCAGGCUGCUGUGGGAGUUCUGAGGAUACUUAGCGACACACACGCUAAACACGGAAUGCCUUUGGGAAGGGUGGUGGGCUGGGUAGUGGCCCCACCAAGAUGUCCCAGCCUACUCCCUGCAAACUGUGAAUAUGUUGCCUUUAAUGGUUAAAAGGAACUUUGAGUUAUGGAUGUUGAGAUAGGGAGAUUAUCUUGGAUAAUGUGGGCAGAAUCAGUGUAAUCACUGUGAGAGGGAGCCAGGAGGGGUAGAGUUAGAGAUCUAAGGACAGAAACAGAGGUAGAGAGGAAAGAAAAUUCGACACUGCUGAGCUUGAAAGUGGAGGACGGGACUAACACCUGAGGGAUGCAGGAGGCCUCUAGGCGCUGGAAAACUCAAGGGAAUGGAUUCUCCCCCGAAAGCCUUCAGGAAAGAACCAGCUCCAGCGGAGCACCUUGACUUGAGCCCAGUGAAAUUGGUAUCAGACUGUGAUUGCCAGAAAUAUGAGGUUAUAAGCCUGUACUGUUUUAAACCACUCAGUAUGUGCUAAUUUGUUACUGUAGCAAUGAGAAGGGAAGUAGCUAAUCAGAGAGAAGCAGAGUCCAAGAGGACUCUAAGGCCAGAGGGGCCAAUCUGCUGCUGCCGCCGCGACUUCACACACUCUACUCACGGGCAUGUUUUUGUCUCAUUACCUGCGACCAGUCAUACAUGAUCUGUGCCGUGAUUCCCACUGUCCAGAGUUUCUGGGUUAGGUUGAUGGCCCUGGACAUGGACAUCUGGCCAACACUUACAACCAGGAGGUCACAGGAGCUGAUUGUAACCUGGAUCAGAAACAGAGUGGUUACAUUUAGAGGAGUGAGACCAGCACCGGGAAGGAGGCACCGCUCCGGUGAAGAGAGGACCCUGAGGUCUCAUAUAGCAACAGAUGUGCACAAGGCUUGGCAUCUAAAC